AACCAGCAGGGAAACGCGUGCUUUCAGACGGUGAGCAUGUGGAUAACGAGCUGGCGGCUACCGGCUUGGCUGCCUCUGCGGCGCCGGAGAGGACAGUGCGCAACGAGAACGAAAUUAUUUCUGAAGCACCAGCGAAUCCAGACUAAACGAGUUUAGCAUGCUACAGCAAUAUGGAAUUUCUGAAGGUUAAUGUGCAAAAUGCUAGACAAUCUUUGUCACCAUAUUAAUCGUUAGGAAGCACUUAUGAAUUUUGCCGUAGACGAGAAUAUAACUAGAGAUUCUGUGACACCACACGUACGAAAUUUCUCAUCUGAAAGUAUAAAUGGAGAAUGAAGCACAUGAACUGUCAGUCUUUGGGUGACAAUCCAAGGGUCAGUGAUGUCUCCGGCUACAGCUGUGAUGGCAGUGUGGCGCCACAGCUGACGAGGGCUAUGAACUUCCUUCAGCAAGGAGGCGGCUCCCUUGUGACUCAGGGCAGGCGGCCCAGUCGCUUGAUCGAACAGUGGACCCCAUACUGCGUUACGGGAUGUCAUUCCAGGCGACAUGGCUUCUUCGUGAUUCAACAUGUCUUCAGCUACGAGCUCUUUAGCUGUUAAUUAUUAUCAGAAUCCCACCUCAGUGAGACAAGGCGUUUCCGCUGCCUUGUUGCCAGGAGGAUCUAAAUGUUUGAUGCAUAACUACGGAAAUUUAAUUUAAUCUGGCUUUACCUGCAUAUGGAUUCAACUUCUUGCUCUUAAGUAACCAAUGCACAUGGCAGAAAUGAAGAAACAACCAACGCUUUGCAUGGACGAGAACAGAAAACUGGCUAAAAAGAAUGCAUCUGAGUGGUGUACGAAAUAGUCUCCCAGUAAUGUGUCCUGAUUCAGCUCCGUCUUCCACCAUGGUACGUUUUACUCAAUAUGAGGAGAAAUGACGAAACAGUCGACGCCUUGCAUUAAGAAGUGUGAAAAACUGCCUAAAGGGAGAGCAUCGUUCAGUGACUGGUGCAAGAAAUAGUCUCCCAGUAAUAUUCCCUGAUCUGGCUCUGGCUUCCUUGUCUGUAGCGUUAGCAAGGAUGCAAUGUGUCCACAACAUGAGCGGGUUGGUAUACAUAAUUCGUUUUACUAAUCUGCAUUUUACACUGUGUCGUGUAGUGCCUCAGUUGAUAAAUAGUUCAUAACUCGAAGAAGUCCGAUAUUUAGCUAUGUAUUUACUUUGGUGUAGAUAUUUUCUGUCUCAUUGCCUCUAAUAUGUUAUUUUCAUCUUUUGGUUUUCUUCUUUUAUGUAGCCCGUGAUACAUGUUUAAGUUCAAUAAGGAUUAUGGGCAAUUUUUCUGUAGCGAGACUGUGGUCGUUAUUCCUACUUUCUUCGAUGCGAUACCUAAUGUUUUGGUGUGCUAAUAU